UCCCAGAUGGUCUAGUGGUUAGGAUUCGGCGCUCUCACCGCCGCGGCGGGGGUUCGAUUCCCCGUCUGGGAG
rnacentral:tRNA from 1 species